AAAUUCACUCAUGGCCAAAUUAAAUAUGGCAGCUGGAAAAGACAAAAGAAUUUUUUUAGUCUAACCAAGCUAUACAACUUAAUAAAAGUUUGUGCAUCGACUGCUCACGAAUCAUACACAGAGUCGAUUGUCGAUGCAAUAAAUACUGAUUCGUUUAAGCGGGCAACUUUUGCUCGUGUUAAAGUGCCUUAAAUCCAACAGAUAUCAUCGUUACGAUAUUACUUUGUUUGUAAAUUGUUUUAGGAAAUAAAUUUAAAAAUAACUUUUAAAUAAA